rnacentral:tRNA from 1 species
ACUGUUGAAACUUUUAUAUGAAGUAUAAAACUUUUAAUUUUAAAAAGAGAUCUAAUCUCCAAUAGUA